ACAUUUUCUAUCGUAUACAUUUUCUUUUUGACACUAAACGCGAUCCAGACAAGAGACAAUCAAAGAUGUGGUGGGAACUACACAUGCUGUGCUGGUUUCAGAUGGGAUAAUACCAAGAGACAAUGCAUUCCGUGUGAAUUAGGAUAUUUUGG